GCUGCUACAUUUGGUUACCUUACCCUGUUUUCUAGGAUCCCUCAUUCAAGAGGUGCAGGACCUUUUGGGACCUGCCAUAGACCCAGCACCUUCACACUGGAAAGACAGGAAAGCUUCAACUCUGGAAAAGUGGACUGUGUUAAGGCCGUAUAUGGUUAAUCAGAUGUUACAGUCUGAGAAGCCUAUAGAGGGAACUUGUCACCACUGCAGAUCUAAGACUGCUGUUGUGAAAUGUCAGGAUUGUUUGCCUAGACCACUUCACUGUGCAGCCUGUGAUGUUUCCAUCCACAAUUCCAUGGUUUUCCAUAAUAGAUCAUCCAUGAUAGAGGGAUUCUACAGGCCACUGCCACCAACCACUCACAUCAGGGAAGAGAAGGGAGGAAAAUUCUCCUUCCAUGAAAGAGAGUGCAUUUUGCCAGUAAUGCAUCCAUGCUAUGACUGCUGCUCUGGGCAAACAACCUUUUCUGCAGGAAAGCAAGUAAUUCUGAUUGGAAUGAAUGGUCGAUACAAUGUGUCCCUCCCAACUGUCAGCUGCUCCUGUGGGAAAGCUUUGGAUGUCGGUAUUAGUGAGCUGAUUGAAAGUGGCUACUGGCCAGCUACAGUCCAUUUUGAGACGCUGUACACAGUGGAUUUGUUCGCUACAUACGAAGAGCUCAAGAUUACUGCACCAGGAAUGUAACGACAAGCUUUCGUUGGUAUGCUUGAGCAGCGCACAAAACUCUUUGGUCGGGUUAGUACAUCAUUGGACUAAUUGCCUGCAGAAUUGAAAGAGUUUAUGUGGCGACACCAUACAAAAAUCAUUCCUGGAAUGGUCGUACGCAAAAUUUGAAGUUGAGAGGCUGUCUGAAGUUGAUCAGUUUCGGUGCCCAGCCUGCACACCCUCAAUGUUAGCUGUCUCAGUGGAUGGGAACCGCAAGCUUUAUCACUUUAAGAGCCA